CUUAAGGUGGCUCGGGGCCUAUUAAAAGUUUCUAUCAGAAGUGCCGUAUUUUUUGUUAUUUUAUUCCUAACAGAAAUUGAAUCAAAUUGGUAGAAAAAAAAUAGGGGGUCACGGACCAUUUAAGCUCAAAAUUUUACUUUUAAACAGGUAUGUAAAAGGGACCAUUUUUCAAUGAAAUGAUAGGGGAAAUAGAGGUGUUGACAUAUUUUUAUCGGAUUAUUAAAAAAACGUUCUAUGACACAUGGUCCAAAACUGUAAUAUAAAAAGCUAAAAUAUAGCUUCAAAGAAUGAGCAAAUAAAAAAGAUAGGUCACCGAUAAGGAAAAAAAUAUAUUUUGCCUUAAAACCCAAAUUUUGGCGGGAAAAUGGGUGAAAUGUCAUUUUGACCCUUUAACAAAUACGAAUUAUCACGAAAAUAUUCUAUUAUUCACAUAACUACAAUGAUUUAACAUUUCUAAUCAAUCAAAAUUUUUAAAAAAAUUAUAUCAAAUUAACGACAAAUACUUUUGUAAUUCAUGCGUGAAAUUAUGCGCAGUCGAAUAGUCCCGAGCCACCUUAAUAU
rnacentral:lncRNA from 1 species